ACACAACACAGUGCUUCAGCUUUAGUAUCAGCCUAAUGCCAUUGGGCAUUAUUUAGAAAAAUGAAAAAGCAUUUUACAAAAGAAGCAAUCAGCUGCAACCAGAUCAAUAUACCUGAUUGAAUAAAUAUCUACCAUAAUCCAUAUUGUUAGCAAAAACUAACGGUGCUGUCAUCAAAUACGAAGAGACUCCAGUGCAAAAUUUACGCUUUUGUUCAAAUAAACACAGAUGGAUUUAGGUUAUUUUGAAAUUGAAAAAAAAAUUUAAAUGAUCAAAUUACGCCAUAACAUCAAAAGAAGAUUUUUGCUUAUCCUUCCAUAGGUUUCCUGUUCCGUCCAAUGGGACUUUGAAGAACCAACAGGCAAACAUAUUUUGAAGGACUUGGCUGUGAAAAACUUCACUGAACUUACACCUAACAAGCAAAAGCUGUAUAAGAAUGCAGGAAAAAUCUAUCUGAAAUAAUGAGGCUCUGAAGAACGUUUAAAUGUGUUAAAAACUCCAAAAGAUCUAUAUUAAGUGAACUAACAUCAAAUGAAUCUACCAAUGAAAUAUUUAAAAGCAAAUAAGGUUUCAUCAAUCAUUUUUUUUAUACAAAGCCAACUGAUAAAUGCUCCUAGAAAAUUAACUGGAUGGAGAUGGACACAAGUUUUAAAUUUGCCGAUCUGAGUGCUAGAGCACAGAAACACUGUGUUGGAUUGAAAGUUAUUAGCACAGUUUGCGAUUUGGAUGGUGAUAAUAUAUGUGACAUAAAUUCAUUGGGGUCAUCAAAUGAUCCACCAUACUUUUACCAAGAGGGACGUAAUUGAUGUUGAAAUAGUAAGAGAGAGAUGAAAUUGUGACUAUUUUUUAAAACACAAUAUCCAAUUUACACAAGACAAUAGACGGAAAUCAAAACAUAGGCGUUUUUCGGGAUCAGCUUAAGCUGGCUGAUAUUGUUCGGAUUUUCAAGAGUGGUGACAGAGGAUGUGAUGACGAAGAAAUGGCGAGGCAGGAUAUUCUAAAUGAACUCCAAAUAUCUUUUUUUUUAAUUUUUUCACUAGAAUAUAGCCGCACUUUUACAACAUGCAUGUUUCUGAACCCUCGGUACAAACUUUAUUUCGAAAACGAAAGUACUGCAGAAUCCACACAAAAUCAUGUAAUUGGAUUAGUGACAUCAUUAAUUUAAGAGGAAGCAACAGAAACAAAACAGAAUAUUCCAGAAUCUUCUUCGGUAUCCGGAUCGGAAAACUCCAUUUGGGCCCACUAUUACAAAAAGAUGCAAAAUAUUAGGCCCAGUUGUACCAAAUUUUCUUGAUCUGUUGUUGAUGUACAACGUUACCUAGAUGACACAGUCUCAAAGUGUCAUUCGGCUUUAGAAUAGUGGAAAGCUAACAAGAACUCAUACCCACAUUUGGCAAUACUUGCACACAAUAGACUAAAUUCUCUGGCAACGUGAAAGAUUGUUUUCUGCCGCAGGAAAUAUUUUAUGUGAUCGUAGGACUCCUCUUGGAGUAAGGAAAAUUAAACAACUACUUUUUCUUACAACAGAAUUUAAAAAAUAAAGUAAUUAUUCAAGAUUUGUGUAUAAUAAUAGACUAUUAUCGCAAAGAAAUUCAGAAAACCAAAAAUCUUUCUACUGGCAGUUGCUGCUAAAAAGUCCAAAACUUAUGUUUAUAGUUCCUUGCUUUACUUCCUUACACCAGUGUUGGCUAGUAGAAAAUCAGAAGGGAACUAUCCGACCGAAGAUACUGAAUCUA